CAGAGAUGCUAACCUUGCUAUUGAUUCUGGAGAACCUAUGAUACCUAUUAGGAAUAAACAGACAAACACAGAUGGGAAAAGUGUUGAAAUACUUAACAGAAAUCCAUUUGGAAUGACAGUGUGUGCAGAUCAUGGGUGGCAGAAAAGAGGAUUUGAUAGUUUAACAGACUUUUAAAGAACAUGGCCUGUCUCCAGGCAGUUACACUAGUGUACCAUACAACUUAAAGAAAGAUAUGGAAAGAGAAUGUCGUCAACAGAAAGCAAC